CUUCCAUCCAGGAUAGUCCUGGAAAUGAUCUUGAUGCUAUCUGUUCCUCGUUACAGCAGACCUGCUCAACUUCAGCAGCUAGAAGGAGGAUUGUCUUUCACCAGCUGCAGGAGCCUGUUCCCACUACAAGCCUGGUGGAGUCUUCGGAGCAGAUGUGACUGUCCUACUUGUAUAGAGAAGAGAAACUGAGGCUCAGAAGAGAUGCCUGGCUGAGUUUAAUAGGACUGCAACAACAAUUUUGCCUUUCUACUUUCUGACCGUUUGCAAAGAAAUUUCCUAAACAUCACCACUGAGGCUCCUUCCAGCAAUGACUCUGGUCCAUCAUUGGGAUUGCUGAGCAGCUGUUUCAUAACAUGAACAAGGAUGUUUUAACCAUGUUUCUUGACCUGGCCAUUUGGAUCCCAAGGAUGUUUUGGUCCAAGAAUAAAUUCCAGAGCUUAGGUAGGUUACAUACCACAACUAUAUUCAUUUCCUACUUCUAUUCUUUCUCUGUGCAAUCCUUUUCCUAGCACUGUAACUGAAAGUAUUUUUCUAAAACAUUAAUGUGAUCAUACUAUGUCUCUGCUGAAAAGCCAUCAAUCACUAUCUACCUAUUACUGACAAAAACAUGACAUUCUGAUCCCACCUGAUCUGCUCUUUCUCAUCAACAACUCUUCUCCUUAUGUAAUUUCUCACCUGGUGACCAACCACACCCUGCAUGUGCUAUACAUUCAUUUAUGCUUUUUCACCUGCUCAAGGCCCCCAGAAUUAUUUUCAAGUAUUAUUUUUCCCAACACAAAGCAUCAGUCGAUACCUGUAGUAAGUCUGAAGCAUCUCAGAAGCAUUUAUUGACAACCCAGUCUUCUACUCUCCUCUGCCUCCAAACACACAGCACAUACAUUUUGUCCCAAACAUUUGUAGGCCAUCAUUGUCUUUUGCCUGGCAUUUCUUUACUAAUUAAUAUAUAUUUUUAUUCAUGUGUGUAUAUUUAUCUCACCAAUAUUUGGGAGCAGAGCCUAUGUGUUAUUUUAGUUAUACAGGUUGUUGGGUGAUAUGGCUGUGAACCUGAUAUGCUAUAGAUUAUAAGGGGAGGUGGAACCUGUCACACUUCCUCUUCCUCCAUCACUGGUUGUCUGUCUCAAAGCUCACCGAAGAAGACAGGAAAACUUGUCAGAUGGGGAAGGAUGUGUCAAGAGCAUGCACACAGAUUUACUCUUCAGCUAGAAGCUCCAAUUCCUAGAUGAUCUGAAUCCAACUCAGAGUGCUUGCACCUGUUUCCUGCCACACAGCUAGAGCUGUGUCCCUCUAGGUUCUCUGAUUGGCUGAAGCUACUCUAAGCCAAGAGAUCAAAGAAGCUGAUAAUGUAGAAUGUAAGUUUGUCUCCUGGGCCACAAUGGAAAGCAGAGACUGUAGCUGGAGGAGUGAAUAGAGGAUAUGCAGCUCUGGUAAUUCUCAGUACAAUUCCCAGUGGUCCACUCUGCAGAAUGAACCAAGUUCCAUUUUGCCCAACUUCUGGCAGUCCACAUUUGGACUGUGAGCUCACCUACAGAUAAAUCGUACGUGGAUUGAUGCAGUAACUGGAUUUGUAGCUGCUAAAUCUUAUUUAAGUGAGGACCUGUCCAGUACAUGUGAAGACCACCCAUCCACUGAAAGUGAUAAGUGAAGCUGAAUCAAUACUAGACUGAAUCAAUACUGAGCUGAAUCAAUACUUUCCCAAUUUUGAGGAAAUCUUGGAAAAUCUCUGAGAAAUGUGGUAGUAAUUAUUUUGAAGAAUUGGAAAACUUUAUAGCUGAUUAUGCUAUGUGUGGAAGAUACAACAGGAUUAUAAGAGAGAGAAGACAAUAUCCUUGCUGUGUCCAGAAGGCUUUAGCCGGGGUGUCCUACUGAGAGAUGACAAACUUAAGGUUUUUCUCUUCCCAGACAUUACUGGACAACUAGCUAUGUAAUUAGGUCUUAUGCCGAAAAGACUGAAAGGAAAACAUCUCAGAUCUAGGAAUGUGAUCAAGAAAGAAGGCUGGUUAAAGAAUAACAUGGGGAAAAUGAAUGCAGUGAAAUGGUUCACGCACAAGUUCUAGGAAUUCAGAGUGCAACAGCAGAAAUGCGAUUUUUGUUAGAUAUUUCAGAAAGUGAUGUGAGUCCCUGAGGUCAUACUGCAGCGUUCAGGUUCUGUUUGGCCUCCUGCACGAAGCUUUCCUUGAUUGGAAAAGCUGCAUACUCUGAAGCACAUCGCAUGUGUCCUGUCUGUAGUUCAUUUCAUUUCCCCAGAUUUGUUAUCAUCCACCAUCACUCAUACAAGCCUACCUUCUUCAUGCCAACCUUUGUAAUCUUUCUACCUUGCUAACCUGGUCAUGUCAAGGACCAGCUAAUAAAUAGCAAAGUUGUACCUUGAGCCAAGGUAUCUUGACUCUUAGUCCAGUGCUCUUUAUAUACCUCUGAAGUCUUAUUUGAGCUUCAAAAUUAUGAGUCUGUGCUCUCAAGAUUUUUUUGAAAAUGUACUUAAUGUUGCCCCUAAGCUUUUAUGAGAAAUAAUAAAGUUCUUUCCAGAUUGAAUAUCUAAUAACUCCAUUUCAUUUUAUGCUUUCUCAUGUAUGGAUGUCUAUAACUGGAAUGCUAUUUGGGCUACUGAGAUAUUUUCUUAAUUCUCUGUUUUGUGUUAGUUCUUUUUGUUUGUUUAUUUGACAACCAUAUUUUUGCACCUGAGAUAAAUCU
rnacentral:lncRNA from 1 species